CAGCAGCAUUUGGCCCCUUCUCUCCAACAUCCCAGCCCAAGACAGCACUAAUUAAUUUAUGGCUUCUGGGGAGAGGACAAGCUAAGCCUUAAAUUAAACUUUCCACUUCAACAGGCAUCUCAGCAGGAAUCAGAACCCUGUCCUGGCCAAAGGACAAGUAGAGCUGUGACUGGCUCCAUGUAUCUUGGAAGAGAUGGAGACGCUGCUCCUGGUGGCAUUGGCAGGUGGCUGUGAUGGGAAGGGAUUUGGAAACUGGCAGGCAAGCAGCACAUGCCUGGAGCUCAGCAAAUAUGUGAUCACCAGCCAUGGAACAAAAGCCAUUGUGAAGAAGCAUCAGCCAGAGGAACGAGUGGAAUCUUCUUGGCAACAACAGCAAGGUGUUGGAAGAGCACCCAGGCUCUGAGCUCCCAGCAUGAGCAGCUCUGCUCUCACUGCAUCAUUAUCCCAGCAUUCAGAGCUUAAAUAGGGCCUGAAAGCUGAAAUAGGACCUUUUAAACUGACAGAGGAUUUUUUUCAUGCAUGAAAUGACAAGACUCCAGGAGGAAGAGCCUCAAAAAUGCCCCAAAUGUGAUGGAUUUUGGGCAGUGCUGGUUGAAGGGGCAGAGGAAGCUUUAUAUUCAUCUUCUGAAGAGCUGAGGAGAUGUACAGAGCUGUCUGCCUCCA